CUUAGAAUUGAUGAAACCUGAAUUUUGGAAAAUCAAAAAGAUUUUCGUGCUGAGUGUGUAAAAGAAAAGAAAUAAAGCAACACUUUUGAGGGAUAAUGUGAUGUCANAAGAAAUAAAGCAACACUUUUGAGGGAUUAUGUGAUGUCAAUAAAGACACGAAACAAUGGAUCCCGGGCACGAAUCUCUUCCUUCAAAGUCAAGAGAGACCUUAAAGUGUUUGUGUGGUUUCCCGUUGAAUAACGAUCAGACACUUAUUAAGAAGUGUUGAAAGGCUUCUUUUAAUUAGGCUUAUGAGGGUGGCUUUCGCUUCAAUUCAGAAUUCCUAAUCUUGAUAUAAGAUAGAAAUCAAACGAAGUACUUGUGAGACCAAU
rnacentral:lncRNA from 1 species